rnacentral:rRNA from 1 species
GACGAACGCUGGCGGCGUGCUUAACACAUGCAAGUCGAACGGAAAGGCCCUGCUUUUGUGGGGUGCUCGAGCGGCGAACGGGUGAGUAACACGUGAGUAACCUGCCCUUGACUUUGGGAUAACUUCAGGAAACUGGGGCUAAUACCGGAUAGGAGCUCCUGCUGCAUGGUGGGGGUUGGAAAGUUUCGGCGGUUGGGGAUGGACUCGCGGCUUAUCAGCCUGUUGGUGGGGUAGUGGCUUACCAAGGCUUUGACGGGUAGCCGGCCUGAGAGGGUGACCGGCCACAUUGGGACUGAGAUACGGCCCAGACUCCUACGGGAGGCAGCAGUGGGGAAUAUUGCACAAUGGGCGGAAGCCUGAUGCAGCAACGCCGCGUGCGGGAUGACGGCCUUCGGGUUGUAAACCGCUUUCGCCUGUGACGAAGCGUGAGUGACGGUAAUGGGUAAAGAAGCACCGGCUAACUACGUG